rnacentral:rRNA from 1 species
GACGAACGCUGGCGGCGUGCUUAACACAUGCAAGUCGAACGGAAAGGCCCUGCUUUUGUGGGGUGCUCGAGUGGCGAACGGGUGAGUAACACGUGAGUAACCUGCCCUUGACUUUGGGAUAACUUCAGGAAACUGGGGCUAAUACCGGAUAGGAGCUCCUGCUGCAUGGUGGGGGUUGGAAAGUUUCGGCGGUUGGGGAUGGACUCGCGGCUCAUCAGCUUGUUGGUGGGGUAGUGGCUUACCAAGGCUUUGACGGGUAGCCGGCCUGAGCGGGUGACCGGCCACAUUGGGACUGAGAUGCGGCCCAGACUCCUACGGGAGGCAGCAGUGGGGAAUAUUGCACAAUGGGCGGAAGCCUGAUGCAGCAACGCCGCGUGCGGGAUGACGGCCUUCGGGUUGUAAUCCGCUUUCGCCUGUGACGAAGCGUGAGUGACGGUAAUGGGUAAAGAAGCACCGGCUAACUACGUG